CGGAUUGAAGGCUGAAAUUCGCCUUCAUGAAGCUGGAAUUGCUAGUAAUGGCAGGUCAGCAUACUGCCGUGAAUACGUUCCCGGGCCUUGUACACACCGCCCGUCACACCAUGAGAGUUGGGAAUACCCGAAGCCUGUGAGCUAACUUUUAGAGGCAGCAGUCGAAGGUAGAAUCAAUGAUUGGGGUGAAGUCGUAACAAGGUAGC
rnacentral:rRNA from 1 species